ensembl:lncRNA novel transcript, antisense to KIAA0922
GUCGUCAGGGAGUGAACAUCAGACAUCUCCUUCCCAAGCCUGUGUUCCUUCUACCAGCUAAGUGAAGGGCCUGCCAUGUGCAUGUUGCCAGGCACCACCCAAGGGCAGAGAAGUUAAGGACAUAAUAGGAAGCAGGCCAAUGUUUCUAUUUCACAUGGGACUUGACUGCCUAAAAAGAAGAGCGAGCAGCUAAAGCCCCGGCUUCCCAAUGGAUACCCAACAAUGUUACAUCUACAUGGAUCCAAAUGACCUAGUUCUACCUAACUGGAAGGACUAAAUGGAUUAGGGUUAUUUUUGAAGCCCCCAGACACCCAAAAUUGAGGGCUUUUUGAGGGUCAUAUAAAAUUAUAUAUGGCAUCAGUGCACAACUGGAUCCACAUGAAGCCAUUCGGCAGUCUACUGCAAGCUCAUUCUCAAAGUCUGCUCGCUGUUAAAAGGAUUCUUCUUAGUCCACACACUUCCUGCUUUGACCUUCUAAGAAUAAAAUAAUGGCGUUGGGAUUGUCUGAAGAGCCCUUACCUUCUGGAAAGGCAUUGUAAUCGUUCAAUUCCAAUGGACAGUAUGCGCUGGAAAACUGGCCUUCGCAUGUUGCACUCCAAUCAAUGAAACUGCCACAAAAAACAAGUGGUCUAAUCAGAAACAGGAUGUCAAGACAUCAAGUAAAGAAAAUGGAAAAUGAUUUUACUGCCUAGCAUCCUAAUCACUGUGAAUUCCCCAAUUUUGGAAAAUAAAAGAUGUACUUUCUCAAGUCACAGAAUCAAAGGCUUACUAAAUGCUGAUCACUAGUGACAUGCCAUCUGCAGGAUGGACGGCUGGACUAGGAGCACACUUGUUUUUAACUAUGCUUGUUAAGUCUAACUAGAGACAGAAUAGAGAGCCGUGGCUUUAUCAGCACUGUGAAAGAACAGCUGGAAUACCUUUAAGUGUCUUUGUGCACAUCUGAAGGACUUAAACAUGUUCCAUUAAAAACGUCCACUCAGAGCAAGACCAGCAUUCAUCUUAGACAAGCAUAACUAUAAAGACUAUACUUCAUUAUACUUUGAUCCCUAUUGCAACCUAGAUUCUUAUUAUAGAAAUGAGAUAGGAAAUACUGUUGUAAUAAGCUGAA